rnacentral:rRNA from 1 species
AGCGACAGAAGAAAGCACCGGCUAACUCCGUGCCAGCAGCCGCGGUAAUACGGAGGGUGCGAGCGUUAAUCGGAAUUACUGGGCGUAAAGCGCAUGCAGGUGGUUUGUUAAGUUCAGAUGUGAAAGACCCGGGGCGUCAACCUCGGAAUAGCAUUUGUAAACUAGGCAGACUAGAGUACUGUAGAGGGGGGUAGGAAUUUCUAGGUGUAGCGGUGAAAUAGCGUAGAGAUCUGAAGGAAUACCGGUGGCGAAGGCGGCCCCCUCGGACAGAUACUGACACUCAGAUGCGAAAGCGUGGGGAGCAAACAGGAUUAGAUACCCUGGUAG